ACCCCGUGGCAAUGGGCAAGGAACCACCAGAUUGGUGGUGUCACUCUUAUAUCCAUCAGGGGCAAAGCAGGCACACAGCCCUUAGUUCAUCCUAGCUGAUCCUGUGUUGUGGCAGGCUGUUUCAUGCUUGGGGCACAUAA